rfam:Triticum aestivum genome assembly, contig: Triticum_aestivum_CS42_TGACv1_scaffold_288157_4AL
AACCUACUCCCUUUGUCCGGAAAUACUUGUCCUAGGAAAUGGAUGUAUCUAGAUGUAUGUUAGGUCUAGAUACAUCCAUUUGUAUCCAUUUCUACGCCAAGUAUUUCCGGACGGAGGGAGCAUUAC